rnacentral:rRNA from 1 species
UACGAACUGUGCAAACGUUAUUCGGAAUCACUGGGCUUACAGGGUGCGUAGGCGGCUUUUCAAGUCAGGUGUGAAAGCCCCCGGCUCAACCGGGGAAUUGCGCUUGAAACUGGAGAGCUCGAGUCAGCUAGAGGUGCACGGAACUUCCAGUGGAGCGGUGAAAUGUGUUGAUAUUGGAAGGAACACCGGAGGCGAAAGCGGUGCACUGGGGCUGGUCUGACGCUGAGGCACGAAAGCCAGGGGAGCGAACGGG